UCUGGUGCGAGUCGGGGCCUUGGUGGGCGGAGUGGGGUGGAACUUGGUGGCGGGGGUCCAGCCUGGGCUAGGCCUCCUAGGACCGCGCGGGUGGAGCCGGAUGAGGACACAGCAAGAAGAUGGUCAUCUAUGAAGAAACCAGCAAGUGUUCUCCAGACACCAAAUCUGUCAACACCUUGAUCUUGGACUUCCCAGCCUCCAGAACUGAGGUGUAUGUUUGGCUGCAAAGCUUCUUUCGGUAACUGCUGUCCCACUCUGCUGCCUUCCUUAGGAUAAGGCGCUGCGCUGGGCUCCUGGAGUCCCUCCGCCAUGAGCAGGAAGGCUGCUCAGAGGGCUUGGAGGUGCAGACGGCAUCCAGCCAGUCUAGAGAUCCUUCCGUGAAAAGAAAAGCAAAAGAAGGGAAGGAAGACGUGGAUUGUGUGUGUUUGAUCAACAAUGGACAUAGGAGAGGAAGUAGGAAAGCCUGGUGUCUGGAGGAAAAUGACACCCGUUACUGAAGAAGCUGCCAGGCAUCGAGGUGAUCACACACCGGGCCACGUGAUGCAAACAAUCUAAUUGAAUGUGUAACCUCACUGAAGCCUCAGGAAAAAUUUGCGAUGCAGAUGUUCUUAUCUUAAUUUUAUAAACGAGAGAGGCUAAGUAACCGUCCCAUUGCCAUCACAGUGAGGAGGGUCCGCCCAGUGCCGUCCACCCCCAAACAGGAACCCUACACCAGUUUGGAAUAUCUUGAGUUUGAGAUGUCUGCGCAAAUCGACGCUAAGCCCCGGGGGUUAGAUAAGGGGAAAGCAUUCCAGGCAGAAGGAACAGCAAGUUCAAAUGCCCUAAAGCAGGAAAGAGUUUCUCAUUUCCUGUCCAUGAGCAUCUAUUUUCUUUCUUCUGGGAAGUUGUACGUAAUCAUCAGACAGCUGAGUUCUUGGGGAGGA